GUACGAUUAGAGACGAAAAUAGUCUAAACAAAUAGUCGCGGAAAUGGGACACCGGAAAUAGAGAGAGAGCGACGACUCCCACCCGCCUACACUGGCCAGGGAGGAAAAAGUCCCGCAGAGAUGGAAACUUUUACCUUGGACAGCUGCAGACAGACCUGGCACCUGUAUUAACUCAUGAGGACGGAAAAGCAGACAGGCAAAUAGAGGGACAGACUGACUGAAAAACAGAAGACAUACAGUUCUUGGAAAUAUGUCUCGCCGGCAGCUGUCUGCGCCAGAGGACUGAGGCUCGACGGAAAACAAGGAAAUAAUGAUUCAGUUGUUGGUGUGGUUUAUUUCUUUGGAGAAAAUAAAUGCCUGUUUGAUAAUA